UGUUAGCGGCGGACGGGUGAGUAACACGUGGGUAACCUGCCUGUAAGACUGGGAUAACUCCGGGAAACCGGGGCUAAUACCGGAUGGUUGUUUGAACCGCAUGGUUCAAACAUAAAAGGUGGCUUCGGCUACCACUUACAGAUGGACCCGCGGCGCAUUAGCUAGUUGGUGAGGUAACGGCUCACCAAGGCAACGAUGCGUAGCCGACCUGAGAGGGUGAUCGGCCACACUGGGACUGAGACACGGCCCAGACUCCUACGGGAGGCAGCAGUAGGGAAUCUUCCGCAAUGGACGAAAGUCUGACGGAGCAACGCCGCGUGAGUGAUGAAGGUUUUCGGAUCGUAAAGCUCUGUUGUUAGGGAAGAACAAGUACCGUUCGAAUAGGGCGGUACCUUGACGGUACCUAACCAGAAAGCCACGGCUAACUACGUGCCAGCAGCCGCGGUAAUACGUAGGUGGCAAGCGUUGUCCCGGGAAAUUAUUGGGCGUAAAGGGCUCGCAGGGCGCGGUUUCUUAAAGUUCUGAUGUGAAAAGCCCCCGGGCUCAACCCGGGGGAGGGUCAUUGGAAAACUGGGGGAACUUGAGUGCAGGAAGAGGAGAGUGGAAUUCCCACGUGUAGCGGUGAAAUGCGUAGAGAUGUGGAGGAACACCAGUGGCGAAGGCGACUCUCUGGUCUGUAACUGACGCUGAGGAGCGAAAGCGUGGGGAGCGAACAGGAUUAGAUACCCUGGUAGUCCACGCCGUAAACGAUGAGUGCUAAGUGUUAGGGGGUUUCCGCCCCUUAGUGCUGCAGCUAACGCAUUAAGCACUCCGCCUGGGGAGUACGGUCGCAAGACUGAAACUCAAAGGAAUUGACGGGGGCCCGCACAAGCGGUGGAGCAUGUGGUUUAAUUCGAAGCAACGCGAAGAACCUUACCAGGUCUUGACAUCCUCUGACAAUCCUAGAGAUAGGACGUCCCCUUCGGGGGCAGAGUGACAGGUGGUGCAUGGUUGUCGUCAGCUCGUGUCGUGAGAUGUUGGGUUAAGUCCCGCAACGAGCGCAACCCUUGAUCUUAGUUGCCAGCAUUCAGUUGGGCACUCUAAGGUGACUGCCGGUGACAAACCGGAGGAAGGUGGGGAUGACGUCAAAUCAUCAUGCCCCUUAUGACCUGGGCUACACACGUGCUACAAUGGACAGAACAAAGGGCAGCGAAACCGCGAGGUUAAGCCAAUCCCACAAAUCUGUUCUCAGUUCGGAUCGCAGUCUGCAACUCGACUGCGUGAAGCUGGAAUCGCUAGUAAUCG
rnacentral:rRNA from 1 species